GAUGAACGCUAGCUACAGGCUUAACACAUGCAAGUCGAGGGGAAACGGCAUCGAAAGCUUGCUUUUGAUGGGCGUCGACCGGCGCACGGGUGAGUAACGCGUAUCCAACCUGCCCAUCACUUGGGAAUAACCUUGCGAAAGUAAGACUAAUGCCCAAUGACAUCCCACGAAGGCAUCCGAAUGGGAUUAAAGAUUUAUCGGUGAUGGAUGGGGAUGCGUCUGAUUAGCUUGUUGGCGGGGUGACGGCCCACCAAGGCAACGAUCAGUAGGGGUUCUGAGAGGAGGGUCCCCCACAUUGGAGCUGAGACACGGACCAAACUCCUACGGGAGGCAGCAGUGAGGAAUAUUAGUCAAUGGGCGAUAGCCUGAACCAGCCAAGUAGCGGGCAGGAUGACGGCCCUAUGGGUUGUAAACUGCUUUUAUAAGGGAAUAAAGUGGGUCACGUGUGACUUUUUGCAUGUACCUUAUGAAUAAGGACCGGCUAAUUCCGUG
rnacentral:rRNA from 1 species